rfam:Fukomys damarensis contig115814, whole genome shotgun sequence.
GGGGAAGUAGCUCAGUGGUAGAGCACUUGCCUAACACGCAUGAGGCCCUGGGUUCUAUUCUUAGUAUUGCAA